ensembl:lincRNA 4930544I03Rik RIKEN cDNA 4930544I03 gene
AGGCACAGGGCAUGUACAUCAGCAUGGUCUCUAGCAUCAACAUGGCCCACAGAAUCAACAUGGUCUCCAGUGUGACUACAGACCAUGGACACCUUCAUGGCCCUCAGUGGCAGUACAGGUCAUGGACAUCAACAUGGUCUCCAGCAGCAACAAGGCCCCUGACAUCAGCACAGCUUCAGAUUCCAUCAAUCUCUUUGGUUACCAGCUACACCAUUCAGCAGCAAGCAAAAGUGCAUGUGACUUCCUAGAGCAGAGAACGUGUAGUUAGAGCAGUCAUGAUCCAGCCUAAGAGGACAGAACCAGCAACAAAGACCCAGACACGACCCCGGCACACAAAGCAUCUGCUUUUAAUUUUAUGUCUUCUUGAACUUAAUGUCCAUCCUCUUGAAAUAGGGUCCAGAGGAGUUCCACGAACAGCAAAUGUGAGAUGGAGAAAGAGAUCUGCGGUGGGCCGGGGACAGCCAGCCACCGUCCGGACCGGAGGACAGGUGCCCGUCCGGCUGGGGAGGCGGCCUAAGCCACAGCAGCAGCGGUCGCCAUCUUGGUCCGNNCAUCUCUUUCCUAAGAACUGAUGGAAGAAUCUUCUUAUUUGCAAGACAAAGACCUUGGAUUUUCAAAGACAAUGAACAUCAAGCCUUAGGAGCCUCCUAUUUUCAGCAACACCAGUGCUGCCCCACUUUCUGGGUCCAAAGAGAGCAGAGGAGGGAGAAGGAAGCACACUCAGCUUCGGCAGGUUAUGCAGAUGCCUGAUGACACAUAGAUGGCCUACUUCUCAGGCAGGGGCAGCAGCAUCAAUCACCCUCACUUGAACUAUUAGAGCUGUCAGCCUCUUGUUUAUAGAUGACAAUUCAAGGGUAGCUUUCCUUGAUUGGUGAAAUUCCCUCAAUUAAAUGAGCACAAUACUCAGAAUCAGAGGCAGAAGCAAAAAUACUCAGAAGCAGAGGUGAGUGGCCUCACCUGUUAACAGGAGAAAGAGUAACUUUUGACAUGAAAACUACUUAGAUCUGAAAGUCAAGCUGUCAUUUUUUUUAGCCUAAAGUACAUUUUAUACACAUACACACACACACACACACACNNNNNNNNNNNNUACAUAUUUAUGUAGAAUAUAAAUUUUUCUGGUAUCAUUAAAAUUUUAAAUAU